AACGUAGGUACCGAGCGUUAUCCGGAUUUACUGGGCGUAAAGCGCGUUCAGGCGGUUUGGCAAGUCGGGCAUGAAAUCUCUCGGCUCAACCGGGAGAGGUUGUCCGAUACUGCUGGACUUGAGGGCAGUAGAGGGUGGUGGAAUUCCGGGUGUAGUGGUGAAAUGCGUAGAUAUCCGGAGGAACACCAGUGGCGAAAGCGGCCACCUGGACUGUACCUGACGCUCAAACGCGAAAGCUAGGGGAGCGAACGGG
rnacentral:rRNA from 1 species